CCUACGGGGGGCAGCAGUGAGGAAUAUUGGUCAAUGGGCGUAAGCCUGAACCAGCCAAGUCGCGUGAGGGAUGAAGGUUCUAUGGAUCGUAAACCUCUUUUAUACGGGAAUAAAGUGUGGGACGUGUCCUGUUUUGUAUGUACCUUAUGAAUAAGGAUCGGCUAACUCCGUGCCAGCAGCCGCGGUAAUACGGAGGAUCCGAGCGUUAUCCGGAUUUAUUGGGUUUAAAGGGUGCGUAGGCGGCCUUAUAAGUCAGCGGUGAAAGUCUGUGGCUCAACCAUGGAAUUGCCGUUGAAACUGGGGGGCUUGAGUAUGUUUGAGGCAGGCGGAAUGCGUGGUGUAGCGGUGAAAUGCUUAGAUAUCACACAGAACACCGAUUGCGAAGGCAGCCUGCCAAGCCAUGACUGACGCUGAGGCACGAAAGCGUGGGGAGCAAACAGGAUUAGAUACCCCGGUAGUC
rnacentral:rRNA from 1 species